AAUAGCUCACUAGUCGAGUCGGCCUGCGCGGAAGAUGUAACGGGGCUCAAACUGGUCACCGAAGCUGCGGCUGCAUACUUUGUAUGCGGGGUAGGGGAGCGUUCUGUAAGCCUGCGAAGGUGUGUUGAGAAGCAUGCUGGAGGUAUCAGAAGUGCGAAUGCUGACAUGAGUAACGACAAUGCGGGUGAAAAACCCGCACGCCGGAAGACCAAGGGUUCCUGCGCAACGCUAAUCGGCGCAGGGUGAGUCGGCCCCUAAGGCGAGACCGAAAGGUGUAGUCGAUGGGAAACGGAUUAAUAUUUCCGUACCUUGGAUAGCUGCGAUGGAGAGACGGAGAAGGCUAGGUGAGCCGGGCGACGGUUGUCCCGGUUUAAGCAUGUAGGCAGUGGGAUUAGGCAAAUCCGGUCCCACAAUGCCGAGACGCGACGACGACUGCCCUUUUAGGGCGGGAAGUCAUUGAUGCCCUGCUUCCAGGAAAAUCUUCUAAGCUUCAGGCUAUUCGAGACCGUACCCCAAACCGACACAGGUGGUCAGGUAGAGAAUACCAAGGCGCUUGAGAGAACUCGGGUAAAGGAACUAGGCAAAAUGGUGCCGUAACUUCGGGAGAAGGCACGCUGGUGGUAAGUGAAAUCCCUGCGGGUGGAGCUGAAGCCAGUCGAAGAUACCAGGCCCCUGCGACUGUUUAUUAAAAACACAGCACUGUGCAAACACGAAAGUGGACGUAUACGGUGUGACGCCUGCCCGGUGCCGGAAGGUUAAUUGAUGGGGUUAGCGCUUGCGCGAAGCUCUUGAUCGAAGCCCCGGUAAACGGCGGCCGUAACUAUAACGGUCCUAAGGUAGCGAAAUUCCUUGUCGGGUAAGUUCCGACCUGCACGAAUGGCGUAACGAUGGGGGCGCUGUCUCUACCCGAGACUCAGUGAAAUUGAAAUCGCCGUGAAGAUGCGGUGUAUCCGCGGCUAGACGGAAAGACCCCGUGAACCUUUACUAUAGCUUCACAGUGAACUUUGAGCAUGUUUGUGUAGGAUAGCUGGGAGGCUUUGAAACCAGGACGCCAGUUCUGGUGGAGCCAACCUUGAAAUACCAGCCUGACCUGUUUGAGGUUCUAACUUCGACCCCUUAUCGGGGUUAAGGACACUGUGUGGUGGGUAGUUUGACUGGGGCGGUCUCCUCCCAAAGCGUAACGGAGGAGCACAAAGGUGGGCUAAGCAUGGUCGGACAUCAUGCGGUUAGUGUAAUGGCACAAGCCCGCUUAACUGCGAGACAGACACGUCGAGCAGGUACGAAAGUAGGUCAUAGUGAUCCGGUGGUUCUGUAUGGAAGGGC
rnacentral:rRNA from 1 species